rnacentral:rRNA from 1 species
ACUCCUACGGGAGGCAGCAGUGGGAAUCUUGGACAAUGGGGGAAACCCUGAUCCAGCCAUGCCGCGUGAGCGAUGAAGGCCUUAGGGUUGUAAAAGCUCUUUCAGGUGGGAAGGAUAAAUGACGGUACCACCAGAAGAAGCCCCGGCUAACUCCCGUGCCAGCAGCCGCGGUAAUACGGAGGGGCUAGCGUUGUUCGGAAUUACUGGGCGU